AGGCCCCGCCUCUGAAACAACAGAAAGCACUUGACAGGCUUGCUCUCCAAUGAGAAGCCCCGGAAAAGUGUCGCGCGGAGGCGGAGCCACGCGGUACAGCCACCUCUGCGCCUGCUCAAAGGCCCUGGACACUUGGAGUCUAGAUGGGGAAACUGACAUGAAGAGGAGUCCAAAGUGACACAGUCAGCCCAGAAAUGUUGCUUCUCAAGUCCUGAGUCCACCUCCUAGCACUGCCAAGCAGUCCACCUGGAGGUGAUGAGAACUUCCAGGCUUUGGUAAUGGACAACUCUGUAUCCCUGGAGCCUUCAUUCCUUUUGGCAUUACAGAACCACAAGAAGUCAUCUAGAAUCAUUGAGAUUCUCAACUCCAUUGGGCAAACUGGAACCAGCAAAAUCUCAGAUAUCUAGAAUUGCCACUGCUUCCUUGACUCUGUGAUCAGUCUACAGCCACAGAAUCCUGAUUCCCUUUGGACAUUCUAGAAUGGCACUUAAAAAAAAACCAACAACCCACCCAGUGGAUCCUUUCAAAGCACUGCUUAUUCUCUUGGCUGGGUGCUCUACAGCCAGAAGUUGGAGUUAUCUAAUAUCAAGAACUCUUAAUCUGUCACUUCAGUCUUUCUAAACCCACAGACUAACAAUGUUUUGUGCAUUCUAGAAA